AAACUGGGUAAAAUGGCUUUCCAGCAGCUCGAGACAGGGAAUUUAAUCUUCUAUGCUGAAGACCUGAGAGAGUGUGGCAUUAACGUGACAGAAGCAUCUGUGUACUCUGGAUUGUUCACCCAGAUCUUCAGAGAAGAAUCAGGAGUGGACCAAAGGAAGGUGUACUGCUUAGUUCAUCAGAGCAUUCAGGAAUAUUUUGCAGCUCUGUAUGUGCAUCUUUCUUUCAUUAUGGGAAACAUUAAUAUGCUCAGCAGCACCACUGAAUCUUGUUUCUCAUUACAAAGAGUUUUUAGUAGCUUUUGUGUGAGAAAGGUGUCAAUGUUUGAGAUGCAUCAGUGUGCCAUGGAAAAGGCUCUGAAGAGUGCAAAUGGACACUUGGACCUUUUCCUCCAUUUUCUUUUGGGCCUCUCAUUGGAGUCCAAUCAGAUAUUACUGCAAGGCCUUCUGAUGGAGACAAGAAUCAGCUCCUACGACAACAAGAAAAUAUGUGCUUAUAUCAGGAAAGAAGAUUUUGAAAUAUCCCUCUCCACAUAGAUCCAUCAACUUGUUCCACUGUCUGAAUUAAUUGAACGAGGAUUCUCUGGUGGCAGACAUCCAGCGUGAUCUGAAAUGGGGAACUAUGAGAGGAAAAACCCUUCUGCCAUCUCAGCGGUCUGCUCUGACUUUUUUUUUAAUCCUGAUUUCUGAGCAGAACCUGUAUGUGUCUGAUUUGGGAAAAUAUGCUGAAGAGCGUAGCGUGACAGACUUUGUACUUUUGAGGCUGCUGCUUGUGAUUGAGGCAUCAAGAGUGGCUGAGGUCUGUUUGGACCUGAUGGAAUGUAAACUUAUAAAACAGUCAUAACUUAAUAUUUUUCACCUAAACGUAAGAGAACUGGACCUAGAACAGAAUAAACUGCAAGACUCUGGAGUACAGCUGCUGUAUGCCAGGCUGAAGAAUUCUCACUGUAAACUAGAGACACUCAGGCUGAAUGACUGCAGUCUGACAGAGAAAUGCUGUGCUGAUCUAUCUUCAGUUCUUAGCUCAGAAUCUUUGAGUCUGACGGUGCUGGACUUCAGUGAAAACAGACUGCAGGAUUCAGGAGUUAAACUCCUUUCUUCUGGUUUGGCGAGUCCUCAUUGUAAAGUGGUGAACUUGCGGCUGAAGAUAUGUGGUAUCACUUAUGAAGGUGUGUGAAGCUCUGGUGGCUGCUCUCAGUUCAAACCCCUCACACCUGAAAGUGCUGUCUCUCCAUGGGAAUGAGAUCUGUGCUUCGGGAGCGAAGCUGCUAACUUCUUUAAAGGAUGAUGAUAAAUACAAACUGGACACCAUAGAAUAUGGUUCAGCAAUAGAGAACACCUGAGGAUCACCUACAGUAAUGAGGUGGCAUUACUGUAGAUUAUUAUAUAUUGCCCAAUAGGAUACUUUGAUGAAAGAUGGAAAUGGUUAAAUUUGGACAUGAAGAAACUGAAGAAAUAUUUAACUUCCUAUAUACUUGAAUCAAACAAGUUAAUGUACAUAAUUUUUCCACUAUUUUUUUACUGCAUUUGUUUACCUUUGAGAUACUACAUCGCAAUAUUAUAUUUUAAUGUUUGCUAUUACUAUGCUAUUACAUUGUAAUAUUUAAACUAUUGAAAUUAACAUACAUUAAACAAGACAUGGAUUUACUGCUUGUCUAAUUUAAUUUUGAUGGGUGGUAGAUUAACUGCUGGGAUACAGCACCCCAUUUACACAAAACCUUGAUCUGUUUAGUUGAAGUAGGAUUGUAUAGUGGUUUAUUAAGAUAGUUGGUUACCAAAGGUUUGUGGAUGGAAACCCAAUGGCUGAUCCAGAAGCAACUGACAAUAACUGAACAACACUGAGGGCGAAUGGUGUCUCUCUAAUGGUGUGUCAUGAAUAGUGCUGCUGAUUUCAGAAUCAUAUUUACUCAAACUAUCUUUUGAAAUGGAACACUCAUACGCAAGUAUUUCCAAGAAAAAAUGUAACUUUUUAGUAUAUACUUGCAAAAUGAAACCUCCAACGUACAAAGUGCUUUUCUUUUGAAGGUCAUCAUCAUUUAUAUCUUCAGUUUAAACUAUUUUUAUACAACAGUCAUUAAUCUGCAAAAAAUAAAUAAAUAAAUAAAUAAAUAAAUAAAUAAAAAGCUGGGAUUUCCACAUUGUACUGUGUACAGCAGUGAGGGUAUUGUCUGUUUUAAACCUCUGCACAAUUAGAUCACGUAACAGUA